rnacentral:tRNA from 1 species
GCUUCUAAAGGAUAAAAGUCUUCCGCUGGUCUUAGGAACCCGUAAUUCCUGGUGCAAAUCCAGGUGGAAGCU